rnacentral:lncRNA from 1 species
GGGGGAUGCUUGAUUUGUGUUGACUUUAAAGGUCUGGAUCUUGAUACUUCGUACUUAUUCUUUGGUUGAACUCAUAACCCCGUCCAUUUCCAAUCUUGGUCGAUAAAUUAUAUAAAAAAAUGUUUGAUUAAACAACAACAACAGCAACAAACCAAGUGUAUUCCCACAUAGUGAGUCUGGGGAGGGUAAGAUGUACGCAGUCCAUACCUCUAAAUCUAAAGAAUUAUAAAGGCUAUUUCCGAUAGACCCCCGGCAAAAAUUUGAUUAAAAAAUAUUAAAAAUAAAAUAUAAACAAAAGUGGGAAAUAAACUAUAUAAAUAAAAUAUUCAAAUAUGCAUAGUAUUAAAAUGAAAUUCUGCCAA